AUGAUGGAAAGCAGGGAUGGUUUUCAUUGAGGGCCGUCCGAAGGUCGACUGGGCCCGUCACCUGCAUCACCACCAAGGACUAGAUCCGGAGUGCUUUGUGCUUUUCUCGUCGGCAUCCUCUGGGUUCGGCAGCGCGGGUGAGGCCGCAGACGCAGCGGCUGGCGA
rnacentral:sRNA from 1 species